rnacentral:lncRNA from 1 species
CUGGAAUGGAUCGUGGAAGGAUGCUUCUUGCCAUCGCAUUGGUGAUCAUGAUCAGCGGCAACAUCGAUUGUUCCAGGCCGGGCUCGUUUUCGGCGAUGAGCCAGCAGGCCGAGCUUUUCAAUUCCGAAUUGCGCCUUCCUGUUGUUAACAAGAUCCACAAUCUUUUCGAAAGGACCUUCCGGAGAAUGCUCAUCCAGGGUCAGCCCACGCCAUCCUCCGGCCCUUCCUGGUGCUGCCACGACCAUCCAUAGCAUUUUCCUAAAACGAUUUUUCAUUUCAAUACCACCAUUAUUUGGCUAAUUGAAGGGGCGGACAGCCACGUGGCUGACACGUCACGCUGGGAGACGGCGGCGAAUUCUCCUCCAAAUCCUCCGCCUCCACCCCUUUCCCCAUUCUUCCCCACCUCCGCUUCCUCCCAUUACAGUCACACAUCAAUUUACCCAGCUUGCGUCCAUGAGGCGCUUAUCUCACCAAGGUGAAGGGGAAUGAUAAAGGCAUCUUUCCAUUUUUCCCUGUCAACUUCAAGAGACUUGAGAGCUGCUUGGAAUUCCCCGAAGUUCCAGUCCAGCAAGUAAAGUCUCCACAAGACUUUCAGGGAUGUCUUGUACAGCUGCGAACAAUCAGCCGUGGUGGUGGCUUGCCCUUGUUCUGGCGAGAAGAUCUGCAAAGAGGAGCGGCUGCAGUGAGUCUCGAAGAUUCGCAGGUCGUUCGGAUUGGGCAUGGCUUGAGGGCCGGGCAGGGCAGGAGGGACAAGAGCCGGUGGUGCUAGAACAAGCUGCAGAGGGAAGUGGGCAGCACUGGCAAAGGCAGAUUUUUUCCCACUUGACGAUGGAGUCUCAUUGAAAUGCACGUCUGGUGAGAUGAUCAGCGUCUUGGAGACAGGAUUGUAGACCUUGUAAGCCUUGUGUUCAAUGCUAUAGCCUAGGAAAAUGCCGCUUGUUGAAGUGAGUUUUUUUCUAGUUUUAGAGGGGAUAUGGACGCCAUGGAAGGUGCGCUAAUCCAUUUGAAUUCCACUUUGUGCAAGAACCCUUGACAAUCCUGGACCUCAACAUUGGCAAGCACUUAAACGUGUCUUUUGGUACUUACGAGAUAUGUUUCCUUACAGUCUUAAGGCCAAGAGUCAAGCUAUGUUUCCUUACAGUUUUAAGGCCAAGAGUCAAGCUAUGUUUCCUUACAGUCUUAAGGCCAAGAGUCAAGCUUACUGGGCUGGCUUUGGCUAUAUUGUUUAGCCUUCGGUGUUGGGCCGGGUGUCGUUGAGGAGGCGGCAAAGCCAGAUGGCCUCUUUGCAUGCGGAACUAGCCUCCGCCUCACAGCUGGAGCAGGCAACGACGCUCUGCUUCUUGCUGCCAAUUGCAUUGUAAUCUACUGUAACAAUCAUCACAAGAUUAAUUCCCGGACGAAACACGCACCACGCUGGGAGACACGUCCAGUUCUUUCCAUGUUAUGCAAUCUUAAUUGAACACCACAACAGCCUGGAAAUCGAGUCCGCUGCUUCAUCCCACCAAAAAAUCUGAUCUCGUGCACAGCAUGAAACGAACAUUCUCUGUGCCUCUCCUGAUAGAGCCAUACAGGACCUUCUCAUGUCCAGCCAGCCACUCGAUUAUUAUAUGCAGCACACUCAAAUACAUCCAAGUAAAUCUUGAAAUCCUCGCAAAGUAGGCUAAAUGAGUCUGCUUGAGGAGGGCUUAAGUGAGUUGGCAAGGUGUAGUUUUGGUCUUUCCCUUGAACAUUGUAAGAUCAUGGACCUCACGUCACUACAGUGUCACCUUUAACUCAUUGUAACGCCGCAUAAAGGGAUUACUGCGUUUGCUCAAGUCCUCGAUGGGAGCGUGGAAGGUGAUAGCGCCUACAUCAGCUCCGUGAAUCGCAACAAGGAUUUCUUUAUUCUCAUGACAGGGGAUUUUAGGAUCGCGCCAGGCAGGGAUCACUUCGUCUGCAUGAUCGAUAUCUUCGGCCGUGGCAGGGAGAAUGCCGAGGAAUUGCUGCGUGCCAUGCCGUUUGUGCCAGAUGCUCUGAUUUGUAGGGUUUUGGUGGCAUCUUGCCGAUCGCAUUACGAUAUGUUUCGGGCACUGGAUCGACAUAUAUGGCAAAUCGCUCCAAGAGCGUGUUUAAAAUGGAAAUUGGCGGGAAAGCGAUGUGUUUGUUUUCUAGCUGUGCAUACUAUCGAAAGGUGGAAAAAGAAUUUAUUUAUCUUUCCAUUCAGUCAAGUCAGCCUCCCAACCUUUGGAGAAACUUUCAAGUCAUGCCGAUGAGCUCUCUCAACUUCUGGAUGAGACCACGGUCGUCAAUCUGGAACGCUUUUGCGAUCACGUUGUCGUUGAUUGGAGGACUGGAAUCAAACACCGCCUUGGCCACCUGAGUUGCCCCGGGGUUUUGGCUGUUGAAGCCAGCCAUCGCAACCGCAGGCUCCUUUCCAACGUUGAGCUGGAAGUGAAUGAGUCCCCGAGGGAAGACGAACAGAUCUCCAGGAUAGAGCAUUUGGGCGAAGAGCUUGUUGUCCGGCAAGGUGGUGAUGAAUCCGACUAAGAGGUUCCCGUGCACGAGGAAGAGCAACUCGGAUCCUCGGGGAUGGACGUGGGGGGGAUUGGUGCCGCCGGGAGCAUAGUCGAUGCGGGCAAAAGCUACACCAAAGGUGUUGAGACCGGGGAAAUUGUUGACACUCGCCAGCGUGACGUUGGAGCCGAGCUUGUUGUCGGUGUUCCCGGGAGUCGCCAGCAGGCUCGACUUGAAGUCCUCGGCUUUCACAUCGGCGGCCGCCUUGCAGACGACGCCGUUCACUUUGAUCUUGGAGCCAUUGUCUGCAACGCAAAAGUCCUACAGCAUAUCUUCAUCCGCAGCAUGUACAAACAAGAUGGAGCUGAUUGCUAGGAGGAAGGAUAGAACAAAACGAAGAUGAGCCAUCUUGCGAGCUUGGAAAAGACUGAUGGAGCUAUAUGAGGGAGGGGCAGGCAUUUUAUAGCCGGAGGAGGGGAGGCGAGGUCCUUUGGAUGACUUCGUCGUGAAUCGUGCACGAUUUUAGGUACACGGUCUUCUGUUCCCUUCUAUUUCAUUUUUUACUCUUGCUGUCCGCAUAACACAAUCCGAUUUGUUUGCUGCCAAGUCGUCUCGGAAGUUUUCUUUUACCGGGCUUGUCUAGAGCCGUCCAAAUCAUCUUUUCUUAGAUGAUGACGACCUUGGUUUUGAUGGUAGGAACCGGUCUCAGUGAAACUCGAGUUUUACACGGUCUUGGUAAAAGCUUUACACUAAAUUGCUUUAUUCUUCUUGGCACCAGAGACUUUUUAUAUGUGGAGUUUUAAUGGAAUUAUUAUGGAUUGUGUAGGUCCAUUGCUGAUACAAAUAAACUAUGGGUAUAUCGACCAAAGGUACGUCUAUGUAGGUUAUCAAUUUUGCAGACAAUUAUGUUGUCAGAAGGAUAGUUGCUCACGUAGUCAUGAGAUAUAUAUAGUCAUAGUCAUUGUGAUUAUUGUUUGCAUCAUUGUCAUGGGCAAAAUAGAAUGUUUAUUGCUGCCACUUUAUUAAUCAAUUUAAUGCAAUAAACUUAUGAUAUUAAAAAAAUUUAUAAUUUGUCCCACCAUUGCAAUCUAGGAAAGCAUCCAGUUGGGGUGGUGGGAGUGAACUGAGAAAUACUCAUUUAUUUCUCAUGUGCUGCUGUGUGAGCAUGUCAAUCAAUCAGCUGACCUCAGUAUUAGUGGUCGUGGGCAGUGCAUUCUAAAGCUCUUUGACUUGUUGGGCAAAGUCGGGCACCCAUGCUGGCAUGACUUGGUCGUGACCACAGCAAGUUUUGGUUGUUGAUAUGCAACUAGAACUUGUUUUAAACAGCAUAUGCAUCCUAGUCAAACAUGAGGCAGUUAAGAACUCUUGGAAUUCCCCACUAUUGCAAAGAAAUAAAGAAAAAAUAUCAAUGAUUACUCUAUUUAACUUUCACUCACCAUUUUGUUAAGGAAAAACUUAAACAAUACACCACAUUAUUAAAGAAUAGUUUAAACGACCAGGAUGUAAUCGUUUGUACUACUCCUAUUCCAUCUAUAGUGCCCAAUUGUGUAGUGCUGUUAACAAUGUAAAGUUGGGAGGCGGCAUUAGUCAUGUGGAUGUCCUCCGCUGCUGCCUGGUUCGAGGAGCCCUUCCACUGUUGUGAGUUGAGCCUGCAAAGUCUGUUGCAAUAUUAAAAACGUUUAAUUGCCCAGCAAGCCUCACUGGUUUGAUCAGUCAGUGUAUAGUUUUAUCUUAAGAGUAACAUUCCACGAACUAGAGAGUAGAAUUUAGAUGCUCAACCAAAGUCCCACCCAUAUCCAUAACCCACGCCUUGUCCACCAGUGGAAUCAACUCUCUGCGAGGAAAGAAAAUAAGAUCCAAGCACUAAUCACGCAAGUUUACCGCAGAUCAUGGCUCACAACGAGCAACGUCCUCUCCUUCUUUAAGUACGUGAGGUAAGAAUGUAGAUUGGAAUUUUUGGUGAGGUGUUGCUUUAAUGAAAGGUGAAACCGUGUGAUGGUGCUCAAGAUCCGUCAUAGCAUAUAUGGAAUGGAAAAUGUACAUAUGUGUGACAUGGUGAACCGGUGAAAACUCGUGUCUCUCCACGUGGACUAGCCACGUGGCACAGGGCCACUCUCAACACUCCCAGUGGCACUGUGGCCAUCACGAGUGAUGCUCAUCAGUGGAGAAAGUCCCAGCCCUUCGCGAUGGACUUGAAAUCGAUCUUGGGGUAGUGCUUUUGUGAAGAUAUUUGCAACCUGAGUGGUUGUGUCACAGUAGAUCAGCUCAAUUGUGCCAUCUUCCACUUUCUCACGAACAAAAUGAUGAUGAAUCCCAAAGUGUUUGGUGCGUGAAUGAAAGCGAGGAUUGGCCGCUAACGCAAUGCAGCUUUGAUUGUCGCAGAAGAGGCGAGUGGGAGUCUUCACACUCACACCAAGGUUAGAAAGUAGUGAGCGUAACCACACACCUUCUUUGGUAGCUUGUGAGGCUGCCAAAUAUUCUCCUUCAGUACUAGAGGUUGCCACUGUACUUUGCUUCCUGCUGCACCACGAGACUGUCGCACUGCCCAGGGAAAACGAAUAGCCAGAGGUGGACUUGCGUGUGUCACAGUCUCCCCCAAAAUCAGCAUCACAGUAGCCCGUGAGGGUAAGCGCUUUUCCCUGGUAGCACAAUCCAAGGUAAGUAGUACCUCGAAGGUACCUGAAGAUGCGUUUCACUGCUGCCCAAUGUUGAGAUCCAGGAUUAGCCAGGAAUUGGCUAACUUUGCUCACGGCAAAAGAAAUAUCUGGGCGCGUACAAACAGCUGGAUACAUGAGACUGCCAACAGCUUGUCUGUAAGGGAUGGAGUCCAUGGCUCUCUUGUCUUCCUCUGUCUCAGGAGACAUGGCUCGUGAAAGCUGGCAGCCUAGUUCCAUUGGUGUCGCCACUGGAUUAGAGCUCGUCAUAGAAAACCUGGCCAGUAUAUCUUCUAUAUACUUGGCUUGGUGAAGAUAGAUAGUGCGUUGAGAGCGAUCACGCACAAGUUCCAUGCCAAGAAAGUAGGAAGCCGAGCCAAGAGUUUUCAUCUCAAAUUGGCUGCAAAGAUCUCGCUUAACCUGGAGAAACAUUAAGCGAUGAUUAUGGAUGACAAGAGUAUCAUCAACAUAAAGAGCGAUGAUCACAAAUGAUUCACCCUCCACCCGAAUAUAAAGAUUCGGGUCUGCCUCGCUACGGGAAAAGCCCACACUUAGUAUAAAAUUGUCAAAGCGUUUGUACCAAGAUCUGGGUGCUUGUUUCAAGCCGUAGACAGCUUUCUUGAGAAGCCAGAGAUGAUCCUCUUUUCCAGCGGCUAGAAAUCCUUCUGGCUGUGCCAUAUAGAUUUCUUCUUCAAGCGCACCAUAAAGGAAUGCCGUGGUCACAUCCAUCUGUUCCAGAUCAAAGUCUCCCACCGCAGCAAAAUUAAUCAAGGAACGAAGAGUAGAAUGUUUAACCACUGGAGCGAAGGUGUCGUUGUAGUCAAGUCCAGGAACUUGCGAGCAUCCUUUUGCCACCAAUCGCACCUUGUAGCGAACCGAGCCAUCAGGAUUAAGCUUCAGAGCAUACACCCACAUGCUCUUGAUAAUCUGGCGAUUGGAAGGCACAGUUGGAACAAGAACAUGUGUCUCGUUCUUUUGCUGUGAAGCAAUCUCGGCUUCCAUUGCUACACGCCAGUAAGACGCUUCCUGUGAGGCCAUGGCUUCUCCAUAGGUCCUCGGAACAGUAGGAGUCCCAGCUGCACGAGAGGAGACCAUUGUCUCGAUGAGACGCUCAGUAGGCUACUUCCAGACUUUCAAGGAUAUGGGAGAAACACAAACUGGGAAAAUGCUCAAGCGAUUGAGAAGUGAUGGUGGAGGCGAAUUCACUUCCAAUGCUUUCAACCAGCUGUGUGAGCAAGGAGGGAUUGUGCGAGAACUUACAACGCGAGAGACUCCACAACAGAAUGGCGUAGCUGAGCGCAAGAAUCGCACACUAGUGGAGAGUGCUCGGGCAAUGCUACUUUCCAGUGGUUUGCCUCGCAGCUUCUGGUUUCACGCUGUCUUGACGGCGAACUAUCUCCAGAACCGGCUCCCCACCUCUGCCCUUGCUGGCAUCACUCCUGAAGAAGCAUGGAGUGGCAAGAAACCUACAGUUACGCAUUGGGCACACAUCCCUGAUGGAAUGCGCAAGAAAUUGGACCCCAAGAGCCAGAAGGCUGUGUUUGUGGGCUACAGCCUCGAUCACAAAGCCUAUCGUCUCUGGAAUCCAAUCACGAAGCAGGAGAUCCUGAGCAGAGAUGUGGUUUUCAACGAGAAUUCUUUUCUUCCUUCUAGUCAAGGUUCUACUUCCAGACCUACCUUGACCGAAGAAAAUGACGUUGAAGCGGAACAAGAUCAGUUGACUGUCGGCACGAUCACUGUGCCGCUUCAAACAGUCCCUACGCAACAACCCAUGCCCGCUUCUACUCCAACACCACCAGCCCCGCCGCCUCCUCCAGAUCCUCUACGCAGAUCGAUCCGCACAAGGCGCACUGGACGACUAAGAACCUGGAUCUAGACUUCAACGAGUGGUGGGAUUGGGUAUCGGCACCCAUGGCAGCCACUGUUCCUACAAAUCCGCCUCCAAAUCCACCACCUAUUUCCCCUCCCAUCACAAAUCCGACUGUGCCUACAGCGGAUAUCGUUUCAGUGGACGCAAAUCCACCAAAAUUUGAUGGGAGCAACUGGUGCUUCUGGAAGACAAAAUUCGAAUCCUAUAUGGAUGAACGAGGCCUCUGGGACAUCACCACAGGAACUGAGACACUUCCAGAUACAGCUACAGUGGAUGAAACUGCGAAGUAUCGCAAGAAGGACCGGAGAGCUUUGGGCAAAUUCCAUGCAGCGCUGGAGGGGCGAGAAUUUCAUUGCAUUGGACGGUGCAAGAGUGCAAAGGAAGCGUGGGAGGCCAUGAAGCAGACUUACCAGAUCCCUUCAACAUCCCAUCGCAUUUUUUUACGGAAGCAGCUUCAUGCACUGGUGAUGGCUGAAGGGGACGACCUCAAGGAUCAUCUUGCUGCAGCGAGAACAAUCUUAGAUGAUCUUAAGGAUGUGGGAGCAAACAUAGAGGAUGAAGAAGAAGCAGAGCUGGUGCUCGUCACACUUCCUCCAUCCUUUGAUCCUCUCAUACGUAACAGCCUCCAGGACGAUGAUCUGAGACGAAGAGCAACAACAGGAUCAGAGGCCGUUGCAUUCUACUCUUCUCUCAGGAAAGAAACAGUGAACAAAGGGAAACAAGGAGCCUCUUCAUCCAAGAAGCCCAAGUGUUCUCAUUGCAACAAGAAAGGCCAUGACGAAGCUCAAUGCUGGGUGAAAAAUCCAUCUCUCAAGCCUGUAAGGAACAAUGCAAAGAAAAAGGUGGUACACGCCUUCAUCUUGUCACGAGCUAUGGCAGUGGCAGCACUGUCUACAGAGUGCAUCUACCUGGAUUCUGCUGCUACAGACCAUAUGUUCAACAGUGAUAAGUACUUUGAAGCCUAUGAUCCUACAGCCACAGAGGAGUAUGUCAUCGUUGGCAAUGCCCAGCAGCUUGCUGUGAAAGGAAUUGGAACCAUCAAGUUGACUUUACCACAAGGAAUAGUCGUAAAGAUCCACAAGGUUAUUCCUGGUUUAUGUGCUAAUUUGUUCUCUGUGGGACAAUUUGCUGAGGAUGGGUAUCAGUUCGCCAUUACACCUCCCUUACCAUGCUGCCAGAUCUUGCUGGACGGAGUCUGGGCCUACACGCACAAAAGACAACGACCAGUCACUCACUGGAGCUUUGGCACGCACGCCUGGGGCAUCCUAGUGCUGAUAGAAUCAAGCAUCUCGCACGCGAGCAGAUGGUUGAAGGUCUAGACCUGGACCCAAGAGCAGUUCUUCCAUUGUGCCAGGGCUGUCAGCUAGGAAAAUCUACUCGCCAACCUUUCCCCAAGACUGGAGCAUCUCGAGGAACUUGUACACACUGAUGUGUGUGGCCCGAUGGCCACCACAGCAGUGGGAGGUAUCCAAUACUUUAUCAGUUUCAUUGAUGACUACAGUCGUCGCACUAUGAUCUACCCUAUGGCUCGCAAAUCCCAAUCGUUACACCCUCUUGCAAGGCCUGGAGCGCUUGGAUUAGGGCAUGCCUCUGUCCGGAGGCUCCGAUUCACCCUAGCAAGUGUUGCCCUGAUCCUAUGGUUUCGAAUUCUUCUCGCUCUCCCAGGCAUUGCUCUGAUACCAUCUAACGAAAGGUGAAACCGUGUGAUGGUGCUCAAGAUCCGUCAUAGCAUAUAUGAAAAUGUACAUACGUGUGACAUGGUGAACCGAUGAAGACUCGUGUCUCUCCACGUGGACUAGCCACGUGGCACAGGGCCACAGUUGCUGAUCUCUCUAUCUCUUGAAGCGCCCGAAGAGACAACGCAUGUUACUUUCGAUGAAUCGGCUGUUUCCCUCCCACAACCGGCCAAGACACACAACUCGGCUUGCAAAAAUGGCGAAGAGGUUUGCAAUUUUUUUUUUCCUUCUCUAUAUACUGAAGUCUCAAGCUUGCAGGGGUGCCAGAAUGCUGAAACGGAUUCUACCAGCCGGUGAGCUUGUUUUCUCGCGUGGCUAUUGGUGAAAUUCAUGGUGUUCUUGCUUUUUAAGGUUGCUUCGACUCGACUAUGCUGCCGCGAUGCGUCCCCAUCCUGAGAAGGUGCAAAGCUUACUUGCUAAUUUUUGUAGAUCUUCUAAGCUUUGCUGUUUACAGGCUCAAAGAGGGGGUGAAGAUGAUUUCUUCACUGAAGGCUCCUGGAUGGGUGUUGCUGAUGGUGUUGGGGGCUGGGCCGGAGAAGGUAAGAAAAAUCUUUCUUUGAGUAUGUUUCUUCAAAAGAGUUUUUACUGGUUUUCAGGCAUUGAUUCGGGGAUGUAUUCUCGGGAGCUUAUGGGACAUUGUAAGGCAUUGGUUGUAAACAGCAAAGGGAAACUGGACCCCAAGGACGUGCUUGUCAAAGCCGCCGGCAGUACAAAGGCCCAGGGAUCAGCAACGGUCCUUGUGGCUGCAUUGUUUGAGCAAGUAAGCUAGUCGGAUUUGAUGUUUGAGUCUGAGUCGGGUCAUAUAUUUCAGACAUGUACGCAGCAAAAUUGGGAGACUUGGGUUCAUCAUAGUUCGCAAUUGGGAGCCCAUGCAGCAUAGUUUUAACUUUCCGUUUCAAGUUGGAACUUUUGGUGACCAUCUUUUCCCUUAACUUUGCUAAUUUUCCGUCUACAGGAAUUCAAGAUCCCUGUCUGCAAGGGGGACAUCAUUGUUUUGGGAACUGAUGGCCUUUUUGACAAUCUCUUCAACGACGACAUAAUCGAAGUUCUUAAAAAAUCUCUUGGGUCCGACCAAGUCAACUUGAAAGUGAACUCUCGCUGUUGAAGAAUCUCAAGAUUGCUAAUAUUCUCUUCACUUUACAGGCAUGUAGCUGGGGCGCAGGCCGAGCGUUUGGACAAUUGGAGCGGUGGAAAGCGACGUGAUAUUUGAGUCGCGAAGGGUAAACUUUUCAAGCAGUUUUUGCGGAGGCCAGUGUAUAGGCCGCGGUAUUUCCGGUUCUUACGCUAAUUGAGCACCCUUUUGAUUGGCUCAUCUUCGUGUCUUUGGUGUCCAGCCUUCAUUAGAAACUGGUUUAAAUCGCAGGUAACUGCUGCUGAAUCUUCCUUUAAGAAAUCAAGGUUUUGUUCCAUCAGAAGGUUCACAGCCUGGAAGUUCUAGCCUCACUGGAGAUUGAACUCCGGACAGGACAGGUAUCUCUUCUGUUUAGAGGGAACUGCUCAGGGUGUUAGACGUGCCAGGGAAUCAGUUCAGCUGGACGAUCACGAGCCGGCAACAUGAUCUCUGGCUCGUCCUUCUCGGGGGUACAUGGAGCUGCUAGGCCUUUGGCGCGAUGGGAUCUUUCGCGACUGCGUGGCUCUCCAGGAGCUCUUCAACAGUCUCACUCCCCCAUCCAGCAGCAAACUCCGGAAUCUCAUGCUCGGCUCUACAUCUCUCAGCCAUCCAAGUGGGUGUGCGGGCUUGGAAGUGCUCGAACAACGUUUCGGAAGAGCUGUGUGGGCCGUAUCUUGUCUCUCAGCUUGGGCAGACUCUUUGAGUUUACUCGGAUCUCUCGGAGAACCGGUUGGAGGGGCUGGUUCUGAAGGACUAAGUGGUGGAAACCCUGCUACGGUCGGAUAGCAACAAAGAGCUCACGGAGAACAGCUUGAAGGACAGCUCCAGGCAAGCUCGUGUGGAGGAUCCUUGGAUACCGCUCUCGUCCCAGUACCGUGAGACUCCACCAGAAAGAUGGUGAGCGACGAAGGCAAUUGGCUGGAGCCGUGACUUCCUUCUUCGUCUCGAGUAUUUGGUCGCGUGUCCCGUCCACAUGGUAAGCCACGGAAUUGUUUCUUAGUUGCUCAAAUCUUAAUUCUUUCUGAUCUCCAGGUUGGUAAUCACCAUCACCAACUAAGAGGAAUUUUUUGCUUUGAGGUGGAGUUCGGUAGGCGACGAAGAAAAACUUUCCAGGAUGGGAGGAUGAAAAGUUACAGCCCGAGCUUGCUGUUCUUCGUGCUCCUCUUCUCCGCUGCGGCACUGCUACUCGUAUGGGUUCUCGACAUAAAUUCCGACUCCGCGAUGAUGUCCCGGAGCCGAACUAUGGGAUCAAACUUCCGCAUCAGCAACAACACCACAAGCUACAAGGGCAGCGACACUUGCAGGAGUAGGAACGAGUACGACUUCUACAGCCGCCGAAGAUCGACGAGCUUCGAGCCAUCCGAGUCGCUCCACCGGAAAAUCCUAGAGUACGAGGCUUUGCACGGGAGGUGCGCUCCGGGGCCCGAGCAGUGCGCGAACUGUAGUACAUGCGGCUACCUCGUCAAUGUUCCCGCCAGCCAGGGGAUCGGCAACAAGGUGGUGGCUAUAGUAGCAGCGUUUCUCUACGCGCUGCUCACCGACAGGACGAUGUUGAUCGCGAGGUUGGAGAACCUGGACACGCUCUUCUGCGAGCCGUUUCCAUCCAGCUCCUGGCUGCUGCCGUCGAGCUGGAAGCACCUCGAGUUGGCGCCGUGGGACGCCUCCAAGUGGAUUGGGAGCCUGGCGGGAUCGCCCAACUGCAGCCGCGGCGUCGACGUGAGCUUCCCCGAGGUGGUGGUGGCCUAGGACAAGGCCUUCUUCUGCCAAGACCACAGCAGGAGGCCAUCUUCCAUCUCCUGGUGAGGUACCGGUUGCUUCCCAGUGACUUCGUGUGGGACAAGGCGGCCAGGUACUACGACGCGUACCUGGCCCAGGCCGAGCUUCUAGUUGGGGUCCAGCUGCGAAGCCACAUCUGCCCAACCUCGCCGAGGAUACGUUCGACUGCCUGGUGCAACAAGGCCCGCUCGCAAACACCACCCAGGAGCGAGCUCCCAGAUCGUCGGUGAGGAAGAACAGCAAGAAGGUGGCGGUGUUGGUGGUGUCGCUCAAUUCGCAGUACUCGGAGACGCUCAAGAGCAAGGUGCUGGGAUACGAUCUAGCGGACGGUUCCUCGGUGUCCAUCCACCAGCCGAGCGUGGAGGGGGUGCAAAACACAGGGAACUUGGAUCACGACGCACAGGCGGUGAUGGAGAUCUACUUGCUGUCGAUGAGCGAUGUCCUGGUGACGAGCCCGCAAUCCACGUUUGGCUACUCGGCGGCAGGGGUGGCGGGCGUGCGGCCCGUGCAGUUUGUGUGCGACCAGAGAGCGUGGUUUGCUCGGUGAGGGAGACGAUGGAGCCGUGCUACCACGUUUAUCCGGCUCAGUUCGCGUUGGGCAACAUUGAAAAGUGCGAAUGCGGCGUGGGUUCAAGCUUUUAAGAUUUUAUUUUCUUUCUCGUGAUAGAUUUCUAAGUUGCUCCUUGGCUGCAUGAUGCAACUCUAGCGUCUUUUGUAGAUUUGCGUGGUCAGCUAGCUCAUGCUCUUGGCCCACGCAAAGUUGCGCCAAGGCUGCCUUGAAAUCCCACAUACACGGAAAAGGUAAUUUGGUGCCAAGAGCUUAUAGACUUUGAAUGGCGAACUGUCGUUUUGUCCAGGACUUUGAAAAGCUGCUCGUAUAGUGUUCUGGCUUGGAAGCUAACGAGUCUUGUUUUGACAGAUGGCACGCGCAAAGGACUUGACUGUUUACCAAGCCCGGUGGAGAACUUUUGUGUGAAUAUAAAACACUGGAGGCCCAUUGGAUCCAAUCGUAUCGGAGCAAGCACAGCUCUUGGUUCUUAUACAACGAUAUCAUCACUAUGUUUAGUGCUUUUGUGGCUGGAAUGGAUCGUGCAAAGAUACUUCUUGCCAUCGCAUUGGUGAUCAUGAUCAGCGGCAACAUCGAAUGUUGCAGGCCGCGUUUUCGGUGAUGAGCCGGCAGGCCGAGCUUUUCAAUUCCGAAUUGCGCCUUCCUGUUGUUAACAAGAUCCACACUCUUCUCGAAAGAACCUCCCGGAGAAUGCUCAUCCAGGGUCAGCCCACGCCAGCUCCCGGGCCUUCCGGGUGCUGCCACGAUAAUUGAAGAGGCGGACAGCCACGUGGCUGACACGUCACGCUGGGCAGGCUCUUUUCAUCUAAAUCCUCCACCUUCCCCACCUCCGCUCCCUCCCAUUACAGUCACACAUCAAUUUACAGCUUGCGUCCAGGAGGCGGUUGUCUCACCAGGUGAAGGGAAAUGAUAAAGGCAACUUUCCAUUUUUCCUUGACUUGAGAGCUGCGUGGAAUUCCCAGAAGUUCCAGUCCAGCAAGUAAAGUCUCCACAAGACUUUCAGGGAUGUCUUGUACAGCUGCGAACAAUCAGCCGUGGUGGUGGCUUGCCCUUGUUCUGGCGAGAAGAUCUGCAAAGAGGAGCGGCUGCAGUGAGUCUUGAAGAUUCGCAGGUCGUUCGGAUUGGGCAUUGGGCAGCAAUGGCAAAGGCAGAUUUUCUCCCACUUGACGUGAUGGAGUCUCAUUGGAAUGCACGUCUGGUGAGAUGAUCAGCGCCUUGGAGACAGGAUUGUAGACCUUGUAAGCCUUGUGUUCAAUGCCAUAGCCUAGGAAAAUGCCUCGUUCGCUUGUUGGAGAGUUAUAGAGGGGAUAUGGACGCCAUGGAAGGUGCGCUAAUCCAUUCGAAUUCCACUUUGUGCAAGAACCCUUGACAAUCCUGGAC